rnacentral:rRNA from 1 species
UAGUCCACGCCGUAAACGAUGUACACUAGUUGUUGGGUUUUUGAUUCAGUGACUAAGCGAAAGUGAUAAGUGUCCCACCUGGGGAGUACGAUCGCAAGAUUGAAACUCAAAGGAAUUGACGGGGCCCGCACAAGCGGUGGAGCAUGUGGUUUAAUUCGAUGAUACGCGAGGAACCUUACCAGGGCUUAAAUGUAGUAUGACAGGACUAGAGAUAGUUUUUUCUUCGGACAUAUUACAAGGUGCUGCAUGGUUGUCGUCAGCUCGUGCCGUGAGGUGUCAGGUUAAGUCCUAUAACGAGCGCAACCCCUGUCGUUAGUUGCCAGCAUGUAAAGAUGGGGACUCUAACGAGACUGCCUACGUAAGUAGUGAGGAAGGUGGGGAUGACGUCAAAUCAUCACGGCCCUUACGUCCUGGGGCCACACACGUGCUACAAUGGUAUGGGACAAUGAGCAGCCAUCUGGCAACAGAGAGCAAAUCUAUAAACCAUAUCACAGUUCGGA